rnacentral:lncRNA from 1 species
AUAAGGCCCUGCAGUAACAUUCUAUACACUUGGCAAUUUGUGAAAGUCUUUGGGAAGCAUGGUGUGGGAAUAUCAGGGUCAACUUGUAUAGGUCAGGAGUUCAAGGGAUACAUCUGGGCUGAAGGUACAGAUUUAAAAACCAUGAGAUUAACAAAUGAAGAUGAAGUGAUCAAGAAAAAAAUUAAAUACCUGGCUCAUGAAACUGUAGAAUUAAUAGAAAAAAGCACCGUCACCUCCAGUGUUGUCUUUUAAAUAAAAAGCAGCCUUCCCAGACUUAAAAUUUACAGUGAUAGAUUCCACGAUCUGGAAAUAAGUUGGGCUGAAAAUGAGCCAAAUUAAUCUCUACUUCCUCCUCAGUUACACACAGCAAAAAGGCUUUCAGUAGCCCAAACCAAACUCUUUAGGCAUGAAUUUCCAUCUUGGAGCUCCACCUACCAGCACCAGUGAGUUCUCUCUUCUCUU